rnacentral:rRNA from 1 species
GACGAACGUUGGCGGCGUGCUUAAUACAUGCAAGUCAACUGAAGCAGUGGUAGCAAUAUCGCUGUGGAGGUGGCGCACGGGUGAGUAACACGUAGGUAAUCUGCCUUCAGGUCUGGCAUAACUCCGGGAAACCGGGGCUAAUAGCAGAUGAUGCAGCGGCUCGACAUCGAGACAGUUGUUAAAGCUAUGGCGCCUGAAGAUGAGCCUGCGUCUGAUUAGCUAGUUGGCGGGGUAACGGCCCACCAAGGCAACGAUCAGUAGCUGGUCUGAGAGGAUGAUCAGCCACACUGGAACUGAGACACGGUCCAAACUCCUACGGGAGGCAGCAGUAAGGAAUAUUGCUCAAUGGGAGAAAUCCUGAAGCAGCAACGCCGCGUGAGGGACGAAGGGCUUUUGCUUGUAAACCUCUGUAGUGAGAGAAAAAAAUCCCAAUCUUUGGGACAUGAUGGUAUCUCAAAAGUAAGCCCCGGCUAACUACGUG